rnacentral:lncRNA from 1 species
UAUUCUUUGCAUUUUUAUUAUGUUCUUAAAGCGUUAUUGCUACAAAAUUAGUUCGAAGAUUUCAUUUGUUUGAUAGCAAUAACUCUGCUUAUGGUAAGAUUAUUUAAAAUGACCUGUUUAUGAGGUGUGCUAGUUGAUGCUUGUGUACCAGUAGGUUGCACAAGUGACAUAUUUAAAAAAGUAAGCGAUCUAAAUGAUAUACUACCAGUGAAAGUUGAUUUAUCAGGUCUAUCAGCAUCCACAGUGGUGUAAUAAACAGAUGAGUGAGUUUUAAAAUAUUAAAUGACAUAUUAACACAUUAGGGAUAAUCCUUCAGAGUAGUUAAGUGACAUACUAAUCUAUAAAGCUUAUAAAGUGACGUAAUAAAGUAUAAUAGGUGAUCUAUAGGGCUUAUAAAGUGGCGUACUAAUCAUAAUAUGUGAUCUAUAAGGCUUAUAAAGUGACGUACUAAUCAUAAUAGUUGAUCUAUAAGGCUUAUAAAGUGACGUACUAAUAAUAAUAGGUGAUCUAUAAGGCUUAUAAAGUGACGUACUAAUCAUAAUAGGUGAUCUAUAAAGCAUAUAGAGUGACGUACUAAUAAUAAUAGGUGAUCUAUAAGGCUUAUAAAGUGACGUACUAAUCAUAAUAGGUGAUCUAUAAAGCAUAUAGAGUGACGUACUAAUAAUAAUAGGUGAUCUAUAAGGCUUAUAAAGUGACGUAAUAAAUUAUAAUAGGUGAUCUAUAAGGCUUAUAAAGUGGCGUACUAAUAAUAAUAGGUGAUCUAUAAAGCAUAUAGAGUGACGUACUAAUAAUAAUAGGUGAUCUAUAAGGCUUAUAAAGUGACGUACUAAUCAUAAUAGGUGAUCUAUAAAGCAUAUAGAGUGACGUACUAAUAAUAAUAGGUGAUCUAUAGGGCUUAUAAAGUGACGUACUAAUCAUAAUAGGUGAUCUUUAGGGCUUAUAAAGUGACGUAAUAAAUUAUAAUAGGUGAUCUGUAAAGCAUAUAGAGUGACGUACUAAUCAUAAUAGGUGAUCUAUAUGGCUUAUAAAGUGACGUACUAAUAAUAAUAGGUGAUCUAUAAAGCAUAUAGAAUGACGUACUAAUAAUAAUAGGUGAUCUAUAAGGCUUAUAAAGUGACGUACUAAUCAUAAUAGGUGAUCUAUAAAGCAUAUAAAGUGACGUACUAAUCAUAAUAGGUGAUCUAUAAAGCAUAUAGAGUGACGUACUAAUAAUAAUAGGUGAUCUAUAAGGCUUAUAAAGUGACGUAAUAAAUUAUAAUAGGUGAUCUAUAAGGCUUAUAAAGUGGCGUACUAAUAAUAAUAGGUGAUCUAUAAAGCAUAUAGAGUGACGUACUAAUAAUAAUAGGUGAUCUAUAAGGCUUAUAAAGUGACGUGCUAAUCAUAAUAGGUGAUCUAUAGGGCUUAUAAAGUGGUGUACUAAUCAUAAUAGGUGAUCUAUAAAGCAUAUAGAGUGACGUACUAAUUAUAAUAAGUGAUCUAUAGGGCUUAUAAAGUGGCGUACUAAUUAUAAUAAGUGAUCUAUAGGGCUUAUAAAGUGGCGUACUAAUCAUAAUAGGUGAUUUAAAACGGCUUUAAUAGCUUUGAUAUGUAACUAUCAUUACAGUUGUGUGAUAUAACAGUAGUUUAUCUUGAUUCAUCGGGGGCAUAAACAUGUGUGUUUAUUUGUCAAACAAUAGAAGACAGGUAUCACACCAUUGUUAGCAAGAAUAGGUCGUAUUGUUUUAGUCGUAUAUUACACAAUAUUAAGUGUACUUGUCAGUAUACACUAUGUUGAGUGAUUAAGUUACAGUUAUAUUACACAAUGUGAAGUGUACUUGUCAGUAUACACUAUGUUGAGUGAUAAAGUUACAGUUAUAUUACACAAUGUGAAGUGUACUUGUCAGUAUACACUAUGUUGAGUGAUAAAGUUACAGUUAUAUUAUGAUUAAGUUACAGUUAUAUUAUGAUUAAGUUACAGUUAUAUUACACAAUGUGAAGUGUACUUGUCAGUAUACACUAUGUUGGAUGAUUAAGUUACAUUGAGGCAGGCACGAUAAUCCAAUUAUUAUGGAGAUUUAUUAAGCCUCUGCCUGAACAUAUUAUCUCUUACUUUGCCAUGCUGUUGAACCGUGAUUUUUGUCUGGAAAAGAACCACUGUUAAUGCUACAAACUAGUGAAAACUAACUAACGAAAACAGAGUUCUACAUUUAAUAAAAGUAGUGUUUUUAGAACCCACUAAAUCAUUCACUUGUAAUUUUUCACGUAAAUUCUGGUUCCAGGUAUUAACAUUGAUACUGAUAUCAUAACACUUAUUUUAACUUCACAUCUCAGUGCUAUAACAAAGUGGUUUUGGUAUCACAUCCGAAGAGUCUGAAAUGAAACGGUCUCAUGGAUCAGUUGCAAUAUACAGCAGCAUAAACUGAAAUCUGUGAAACUGAACAGAAAUAAAGGCUACAUGAAAGUGUCCUGGCGCUCUUUAGUGAGGCUGUAAUAGUUACUUUUCUUAAACAAAAGUCACGAGGAAUAUAUUAUAACUAAAAUUAACGAACUGAGUACUCAAAAAAAAAUGUUUUCACGUCUGAAUUUAGAUUACGAUUGAGACGGGUUUAUUGGAAAUUUUAAACCUGAAUGUUAGUUUUUUUUACAUUUAGAAUUGAUUUCAUAUAUGACGGGAGUGGGGGCACGUUUAAAUGAAGAGCCGGUUUAAGUAUAUGUUACGAGCAUGAGAAUGCACAGUUUGUACUUAUAUAUUCAUACAUAUAUAUAUAUAUGUUAGUUAAAUGUGAUGUUUCAAAUAUUUCUUUGCUUAUAUAUUUUUGAAAACAUAUAAAUGUAAAUAUUUCAAAAAUUACUUCUAAAGAACCUUUAUUACAUAUGUAUGAGUUUAGGCUUUCUGAAAUAUUGGUCAGGAAUGCAUGUUUACACUUUCUAUUAUGGCUUACUAUGAUGGUAAUAAUCCGUUCAGUUAUUCCUUUAAUCUUCAUCAACUGAUGAUAUUUAGUGCAGAGACCUCUGGUAUAUGUGUC